AGUUUGAUCCUGGCUCAGGACGAACGCUGGCGGCGCGCCUAACACAUGCAAGUCGAACGAGCGAGAGAGAGCUUGCUUUCUCGAGCGAGUGGCGAACGGGUGAGUAACGCGUGAGGAACCUGCCUCAAAGAGGGGGACAACAGUUGGAAACGACUGCUAAUACCGCAUAAGCCCACGGUGCCGCAUGGCACAGAGGGAAAAGGAGCAAUCCGCUUUGAGAUGGCCUCGCGUCCGAUUAGCUAGUUGGUGAGGUAACGGCCCACCAAGGCAACGAUCGGUAGCCGGACUGAGAGGUUGAACGGCCACAUUGGGACUGAGACACGGCCCAGACUCCUACGGGAGGCAGCAGUGGGGAAUAUUGCACAAUGGGGGAAACCCUGAUGCAGCGACGCCGCGUGGAGGAAGAAGGUCUUCGGAUUGUAAACUCCUGUUGUUGGGGAAGAUAAUGACGGUACCCAACAAGGAAGUGACGGCUAACUACGUGCCAGCAGCCGCGGUAAAACGUAGGUCACAAGCGUUGUCCGGAAUUACUGGGUGUAAAGGGAGCGCAGGCGGGAAGACAAGUUGGAAGUGAAAUCUAUGGGCUCAACCCAUAAACUGCUUUCAAAACUGUUUUUCUUGAGUAGUGCAGAGGUAGGCGGAAUUCCCGGUGUAGCGGUGGAAUGCGUAGAUAUCGGGAGGAACACCAGUGGCGAAGGCGGCCUACUGGGCACCAACUGACGCUGAGGCUCGAAAGUGUGGGUAGCAAACAGGAUUAGAUACCCUGGUAGUCCACACCGUAAACGAUGAUUACUAGGUGUUGGAGGAUUGACCCCUUCAGUGCCGCAGUUAACACAAUAAGUAAUCCACCUGGGGAGUACGACCGCAAGGUUGAAACUCAAAGGAAUUGACGGAAG
rnacentral:rRNA from 1 species